CACGUGAUCAUAUUUUAAUUAGCAAAGAUUUAUUGAGAGUCAUCGGUCAGAAGUGGGGAAAACUGAAGACAAAUUUAAGAGAAACUUCCACCCAAUAAAGAAAAUAAAAAGAAGGAAGGUGGAAAGAUGGAGAUGCCAGAAGACACUCCUUCAGGGCCUGUGUAGUGGAUAAUGAGACACAACACAGCAAAAUCCGCUUCUUGCUUCUUCCACAUGGAAGAUGAAGGAGGAGAUCUAGAAAGAAAAAGAGAACAAGAUUUGAUUGCCAGGGUGGAAAUUACUGCAUCUAAAAGCAAUGCUGAGCUUCUUAGCGUUGCCCCACAGUGUCCCUGAGAAGGAGAAAGAAGGUCAAGUCAUGACCCACCCAACUGGCUUGGACAAUGAGGCUGGAUGCUCUCCGGCAGUGUUUCUUACGUUUUGUAAAACUCAGGUUCGGUCUUGAGAAAUAGAAGUAUUUGAACUCCUACACUGUCAUCUCAUAUUCCAAAAUCGAUAUUUUCACCAGGGGUAAAGCAGACAGAUGUUAAUGUAAAUAAAUUUUUCGUGAGUCCUUUACUAGAGGGUGUG
rnacentral:lncRNA from 1 species